rnacentral:tRNA from 1 species
UGGCUCAGUGGUAGAGCGCUUGCCUUGAAUGCAUGAGGCCCUGGGUUCGAUUCCCCAG